rnacentral:rRNA from 1 species
GCAGUCGACGGCAGCACGGACUUCGGUCUGGUGGCGAGUGGCGAACGGGUGAGUAAUAUAUCGGAACGUGCCCAGUCGUGGGGGAUAACGUAGUGAAAAUUACGCUAAUACCGCAUACGAUCUAAGGAUGAAAGCGGGGGAUCGCAAGACCUCGCGCGAUUGGAGCGGCCGAUAUCAGAUUAGGUAGUUGGUGAGGUAAAGGCUCACCAAGCCAACGAUCUGUAGCUGGUCUGAGAGGACGACCAGCCACACUGGAACUGAGACACGGUCCAGACUCCUACGGGAGGCAGCAGUGGGGAAUUUUGGACAAUGGACGCAAGUCUGAUCCAGCCAUUCCGCGUGCAGGACGAAGGCCUUCGGGUUGUAAACUGCUUUUGUACAGAACGAAAAGGUCUCUAUUAAUACUGGGGGCUCAUGACGGUACUGUAAGAAUAAGCACCGGCUAACUACGUGCCAGCAGCCGCGGUAAUACGUAGGGUGCAAGCGUUAAUCGGAAUUACUGGGCGUAAAGCGUGCGCAGGCGGUUAUAUAAGACAGAUGUGAAAUCCCCGGGCUCAACCUGGGAACUGCAUUUGUGACUGUAUAGCUGGAGUGCGGCAGAGGGGGAUGGAAUUCCGCGUGUAGCAGUGAAAUGCGUAGAUAUGCGGAGGAACACCGAUGGCGAAGGCAAUCCCCUGGGCCUGCACUGACGCUCAUGCACGAAAGCGUGGGGAGCAAACAGGAUUAGAUACCCUGGU